CAAAAUAUGUAGAAUUAGUAUUUUUCUUAAAUAAAUUUCUCCCUCGAAAAAAAGAAACAAUUAAUUUUAAAUUAAAAUCGUAGAAAUAAAAAUUAUUAUUGAAUAUUUUCUCAAAUUCAAUUCAUAGUUAAAAAAAGAUGGUUUGGAAUAAUCAUUAUAAAAAGUUUUCAUCAACACGCCAACAUUUUAUGUAUACAAAUGGCUGAAAUAUAAUUUAAAAAUCCAAGUACAGUUAACAUAUUGCCCAGUGAUGACCCGACAUAAAGGAGAUCAUUUGUGGUUGAAAUCUUAGAUGAUAAUAUAAAAUGAAACAGUAAUAUUUAACUACUGCACACCACAAAAGAAUUUUAAUUAAAAAUCUAACAUUAAUAAAAUAACAUCUUCUGUUUAAAUAGUUUUAAAUCAGUACUUCAAAGGUAUUUUUAGCCACUACAAUGUUUCUGUAAUUAUUUU